rnacentral:rRNA from 1 species
AGUGAACGCUGGCGGUAGGCCUAACACAUGCAAGUCGAACGGCAGCACAGUAAGAGCUUGCUCUUACGGGUGGCGAGUGGCGGACGGGUGAGGAAUACAUCGGAAUCUACUUUUUCGUGGGGGAUAACGUAGGGAAACUUACGCUAAUACCGCCUACGACCUACGGGUGAAAGCAGGGGAUCUUCGGACCUUGCGCGAUUGAAUGAGCCGAUUUCGGAUUAGCUAGUUGGCGGGGUAAAGGCCCACCAAGGCGACGAUCCGUAGCUGGUCUGAGAGGAUGAUCAGCCACACUGGAACUGAGACACGGUCCAGACUCCUACGGGAGGCAGCAGUGGGGAAUAUUGGACAAUGGGCGCAAGCCUGAUCCAGCCAUACCGCGUGGGUGAAGAAGGCCUUCGGGUUGUAAAGCCCUUUUGUUGGGAAAGAAAAGCAGCAGGUUAAUACCCCGCUGUUCUGACGGUACCCAAAGAAUAAGCACCGGCUAACUUCGUG